rnacentral:tRNA from 1 species
GGAGGAAUACCCAAGUUGGCCGAAGGGGGCAGUUUGCUAAACUGCUAGUGGGGCGUGUGCUCCAGCGAGGGUUCGAAUCCCUCUUCCUCCGCCA